GAAAUUCUCAAAGCAAGUCUUUUGUUAAUUCAAUUGGCUUUGCUUUGGACUUGGAGGUCUGCAGAUCAAAACUCUGCUCCUCUUAAAUGUAUUAGCUGGAUCUCCAUGAACUUGGUUCCACUCGGCGUGAUAAGUUAUCACUCGCUGAGGACACCCGUAAAAAAGGUGGCCAGGCCCUAGGAUGAGCCGCUUCUAAUAGUCCAUUAGCUUGGACAAAUUAAAUUUCUGAUCUGAUCUCAAAUUCAGGUAGGACUACCCCGCUGAACUUAA
rnacentral:misc_RNA from 1 species